rnacentral:tRNA from 2 species
ACCAGGAUGGCCGAAUGGUUAAGGCGUUGGACUUAAGUUCCAAUGUACGAAUGUACGCGUGGGUUCGAACCCCACUCCUGGUA